rnacentral:misc_RNA from 1 species
GAUGAAGAACGUAGCGAAAUGCGAUACUUGGUGUGAAUUGCAGAAUCCCGUGAACCAUCGAGUCUUUGAACGCAAGUUGCGCCCGAAGCCAUUAGGCCGAGGGCACGCCUGCCUGGGCGUCACACGUCGUUGCCCCCCCCAUCUACUCCUUCGGGAUUGCGGGGGGCGGAUGAUGGCCUCCCGUGCGCCUCGCCGCGCGGAUGGCAUAAAUGCCAAGUCCUCGGCGACGCACGCCACGACAAUCGGUGGUUGCGAAACCUCGGUUGCCCGUCGUGUGCGGUCGUCGCGCAUCGAGGGCUCGAAAAAAUUGCCGAGUUCCGGCUCGGCUUUCAACGCGACCCCAGGUCAGGCGGGGUUACCCGCUGAAUUUAAGCAUAUCAAUAAGCGGAGGA